GACCGCUCCAGUGGCCUAAUGGUUAGAGCAUUCAAUUCGGAUGCGGAGGACUUGGGUUCGAACCCCGGUUGCGUCA